UGGGGAAUAUUGGGCAAUGGGCGCAAGCCUGACCCAGCGACGCCGCGUGGGGGAAGAAGCAUUUCGGGUUGUAAACUUCUGUUGAGAGGGACGAAAAAAAUAACGGUACCUCUUUAAUAAUCCACGGCUAACUACGUGCCAGCAGCCGCGUGAAUACGGAGGUGGCAAGCGUGAUCGGGAUUUACUGGGCGUAAAGGGCGUGUAGGCGGGGCAGCAAGUCAGGCGUGAAAACCAUGGGCUCAACUCAUGGUCUGCGUUUGAAACUGUUGUUCUUGAGUGAUGGAGAGGCAGGUGGAAUUCCUAGUGUAGCGGUGAAAUGCGUAGAGAUUAGGAGGAACACCAGUGGCGAAGGCGGCCUGCUGGACAUUAACUGACGCUGAGGCGCGAAAGCGUGGGGAGCAAACA
rnacentral:rRNA from 1 species